rnacentral:rRNA from 1 species
UACGUAGGCAGCAAGCGUUGUUCGGAGUUACUGGGCGUAAAGGGUGUGUAGGCGGUUUUUUAAGUUUGGUGUGAAAUCUCCCGGCUCAACUGGGAGGGUGCGCCGAAUACUGAAAGAGUUCGAGUGCGGGAGAGGAAAGUGGAAUUCCUGGUGUAGCGGUGAAAUGCGUAGAUAUCAGGAGGAACACCGGUGGUGUAGACGGCUUUCUGGACCGUAACUGACGCUGAGACACGAAAGCGUGGGUAGCAAACAGG